GACGUAGGGCGCGAGCGUUGUCCGGAUUUAUUGGGCGUAAAGAGCUCGUAGGCGGCUUGUCGCGUCGACUGUGAAAUCCCGCGGCUCAACUGCGGGUCUGCAGUCGAUACGGGCAGGCUAGAGUUCGGUAGGGGAGACUGGAAUUCCUGGUGUAGCGGUGAAAUGUGCAGAUAUCAGGAGGAACACCAGUGGCGAAGGCGACUUCCUGGCCUGUUCUUGACGCUGAGGCGCGAAAGCUAGGGGAGCAAACGGG
rnacentral:rRNA from 1 species